AUUGAACGCUGGCGGCAUGCUUUACACAUGCAAGUCGAACGGUAACAGGUUAAGCUGACGAGUGGCGAACGGGUGAGUAAUGCAUCGGAACGUGCCCGAUCGUGGGGGGUAACGCAGCGAAAGCUGCGCUAAUACCGCAUACGAUCUGAGGAUGAAAGCGGGGGACCGUAAGGCCUCGCGCGAUCGGAGCGGCCGAUGUCAGAUUAGGUAGGUGGUGGGGUAAAGGCUCACCAAGCCGACGAUCUGUAGCUGGUCUGAGAGGACGACCAGCCACACUUGGACUGAGACACGGCCCAGACUCCUACGGGAGGCAGCAGUGGGGAAUUUUGGACAAUGGGCGAAAGCCUGAUCCAGCAAUGACGCGUGCAGGAAGAAGGCCUUCGGGUUGUAAACUGCUUUUGUACGGAGCGAAAAGGCUCUCUCUAAUACAGGGGGCUCAUGACGGUACCGUAAGAAUAAGCACCGGCUAACUACGUGCCAGCCGCCGCGGUAA
rnacentral:rRNA from 1 species